rnacentral:lncRNA from 1 species
CUCUAUGAUGUUCACACAAUGAUGAAAUCGCCUAAGGCCGCAUUUCUCAGAAUGUAUCCCUGUAGUUAAGUGACAUAUGACCUUCUGGCAUGUGGGCCUAGUGAGGCUACCAGUGUUAAACUAUAAGUCAGAUAUUGUUACAAGCUAAUGUUCCUUAGGUUUUUAGAUAAAAAAUAAAUAGAAAAAGAAGCUGCAACUUCCCAUGCUUCCACGGAUUAUCCUGUGUACACCUUUUGAUACAUGCAUUUUCUGUUGUUACUUUGUAUACCUCUUUGAAUUCAUUACUUUGGAGAACUUACUUCAAAGAUGAUCCUUUAGCUUGAAAAAUAGUUCAGUAAGUUUGGGCAACAUGAGUUCUAGUGUCAUAAACAUGGAUAAACCAGAUUUCUUUUGAAACCUAAAGAGCUAGACCAAGCAGCAGCCAGGCAGAUCAAGAGUCUCUUCCUAUAAACUGUGACUAAAAUGACUGACACUCUGGAUUUUCUUUCAGUGUCACUGCAAGGAAGGAGAAGGAUAGUAACAGAAUGGAGGAAUCAGGCUGCAAUGGAAAAUUUCCGAACGAGGAGUUCUGUUGUUUUGCCUAUAGACAGAAAUUUAGAUGAUGCAUUGCGAAUUCUAUCUUGGAAGUUGCUUAUUGGAUCGUAAGCCCAUAGUUGCUUGAUAGUUUUUGUAUUCCAAUGAUUAUUCCUCCACAACAAACUCAGGCUAAAAAUGAAGAUGUUGACCAGAUGACUAACAUUGAAAAAUAAAUGCAAGCUUUUUAGUCUUCAUUUUAUCCUUCAAGUAAAUACAGUUGAAAUUCAAAGAGAGGUUUGGGAGUAGGAUGAGACAUGAAGCAAGCUAUGUAUGUGAAGAUGGUUAUAGAUGAACUUUUAUGAAGGCAAAAGAGAGUCCUGGAAGGCAGGAACUACCCUCCGAGAGACCUGAUGCAAAGAUCGUGUCCUCUGAGAGUCCUGCCCCAGCUCCAUCAGGGAGAGAAUCUGCUUCUUCCUCUACUUUGACACAUCAUCAUACUCCUUGAAUAAGGCACAUUUCGCAUGGAAUCCAGAAUUAGAGCUGCAUCUUCUAUGGAAGUGUCUUAUGCCAAGUGAAGCCUGAAAUUAUGUGAAGAAAUUUGGUUCACUCUUCUAAGAGUCCCACUGGCACCCUGGACUCCAAAUGAAUCAAUGAAUAUGGAAAUAAGUUGUUUUCUCCACGAUGACCAUAAAAAUGCACAACAGAAACAGCAUCACAUUUAUUCAAGCUCUGGGGAUUUACUGCCCUUAUGUGUAUGGGAAGCACUUGUGGAGACAGUUUCAAAAUGAAAAACAAAUGAUUCGCUGGCCUCUACCAAGAAAGAUAAGACUUUCAGUGACAUACUUCUGUGAUGCAGACACUCUGCACACACCAGCUCAGCAAUAUCAUGGAGGACAUCGAUGUUACCCUGACUCACAAAGAACCUUGUUCUAAGAUAAUGCAUUUCUGGUAGCAAGUCAUUAAGGAAUAAGAACAUUGCCUAAGAUUUUUUUGUAAAGGGGCCUAUUUAAGUAGAUCAUUUCAUGUAGGACUUUUCUAAGUGUACAUUGCCAAAUUCAAUAAUUCUUCAAUGGUAUUAUGUGGCUAGUUUGAUAGGAUCAUUAUAUCUGAGUGUUAUGAGGUCAUUUGAAGAAAAAUACUUCUAUCAAGGAAAAGUUCCAUCUAAUAUUUACCCGUUUACAAUCCAAAAUGUAAACUAAAAGAGAAUUCAUAAAUGUGUCACAUGACUACGAGUAUAUUUUGAGGAUAGAGAGUGGUUUUUGUCUUGUCAGAAUGUGACAGGCAAGGUCUUGGGUUGGGUUGAGUAUACAUGUCUUUGUGGCUAUGGGGACUUAUAAAUUAUCUAGGUUACACUGAGCUCUGCCUCCUCCAUGCCUGAUCAUUUAAAUGCAGUCAGACCCAAGAAACUGGAGUAAAAGUUGGGCUUGGGCAGGAGCUCUUGGCCUGUAUCUAUUCAGGCUGACCUCAGACUUGCUUAUUCAACCUCUGUCCCACAUUCCCAUCUUGAGCUAUUGACUUCAACCUCUAGCUACUUAAAACCCUUGUUCUUACCACUCAUUUUGAAUCUGGUUUCUGGCUUACUAGAGCAUUUGGACUCUUUUUGUGCCCCUUUCAUUUUGGGGCACCCUCAGUAUUUCAGGAAGCAUAUUUGUGCCAAUGGAUCCUCAAAUACAGAUUUCCACAGAACCACAUAACCCAGCAGUAGGUGUUCAUCUCCAGGUUGUAUGCAUUGAGAGCUGAGGUCCCCAGAGCAGCCACUGGGAGGCAGUGGAUGGCAGAGCAGCUGUGCUCUGAUCCCCAUGCUUAGGCAGUCAGGCACCACCCUCUGGGCAUACAGACUGACAUGUCCACCCCCUGCCUGUCUGCUUCUCACUGAGCAGCUGACUUAGCCAAUAAGGAGCCAUUGAGGGUAUGUUUUUACAAAUGGCAAUGUCUGGAGCUCUUUCUGUUGCAGGUGCUGCUCCUGCCAUCCAGUGAGUCAUGGUAAACUCAGUAGACUGUUCAGCCCCUCGAUGCAGAUAAAGCCACAUGUAGAAAUAUGGAGUUUAUAGUUCUCAGGAGAAUGUAAGAGAAAGACAGGCAUUCCUCUAUCCAUAUGUGUCUGUGGAAGUUGAGAGGGGAUGUUUCGUAGUAGGGAAUCCUGCUUUUCUGUAAUUGAAUGGUGUUUCAUGGCCUUCCUAACUUGCGGGACGUACGUAAAAGUCCUACCUAGUGAAAUGUGGCAGAUGCUGUGAUAUGUAUGGCUGAAUCAGCAGAUGGAGUGCAUGACACCUAAUUCCACUGCCUUGCACAAGAGUCAAAAUUAGGCUGAUGAUGCUGUAGGCCCAGCUCUGAGAAGGCCCCAGGGUGUUAUGUGUGAGAAACUGGCCACAGUAUCAGCUUUCUCACUCUCUCUCUCUUCUUUUUUCUUAAGAUAGAGUGUUUUGCUGUGUUUUCCAGGCUAACCUUGAACUCCUGGACUCAAGUGACCCUCCUGCCUCAGCUUCCCAUGUGGGAAGUAGCUCAUAUUGGAGGCCCACACCACUGCUCCCAGUUCAGUACCAUCUUUUGUUACUGAUAGACCUUUGAGUGAAGCCCAUUGUGUAACCAAGGAUCUGCUCAUCCUCCGUCAUUGCUGCAACAGAUCACAGACCAUCCACUCCAUGAUCAAGGGUGGGAGAGGAUCUCAUGUCAUUGACUACUGGGCCUCCCCUAUGGUCUUGGCAAAAUGGACACUGAGUAUCACCACUUUUCCUGUAUUGUGCUCCUACAUCCUCCUUGGAUCUGAGAUUUUGUGUCUUUUCUCUCCUGACCGCUGGAAAUAAUUCACCUCUAUUCUCAGGACCAUUACUGUUCUUGGGUGGCAGGGAUUCAAGGGGUUCCAUCUGACAGUUGGGGGAUCAACAUGAGGCCACUCUUGCCAACAGCGUUGCUCUGAUAUACCCAGGUCUCAGGAUGGGUUUCAGCCUUGUUCCUGGGUUCCAACACUCACCUCACAGUUGAUGGUUAUGGUGGUCAAGAGUCCAUCUUUGUGGUCAGAGAGAUCUCAGUUUAACUUUUACCUUUGCCACUACUAUUAGAGUGAGCCUUGGGUAAGGUAUUUAACCUCACUGAGCCUCAGUUUGUAAUCUGUCAAAUAGAUAUAAUCAUACUACUUCACCAAUUAUUGUGAAGAUUAUCAAGAUAAUGGAUAUCUAGUGCUUAGCACAGGGUUUAGUUGGAUACUAUUUUGAACACUGUAUGUUCAUUAAUUCACUAAGUCCUUCUAUCUCCAAGUGCUAAGUUGUAUUGUUGAUUUUAUUCUAUGUAUGAGAAAAUUGAGGCACAGAGUUUAAUUAACAUGUCCCCAAACCACUUAGGUAGGGACACUCUGGCUUUGGAGCCCAUGAUGUUAACCUCUCUGCUUACUGCUGAUCAAUAUGCAGUUCUCCUUUCACAAUCCAAAGCUGCAUUUACUUAGCAAAGUAGUGGCAAGGUCUUUUAUACUGUAAUCCCCAGGAUGAUGGUGUAAUUCUUCAGAGUAAUCCUUUCUUAGAAUUAAGUGCUAUCCACCUCCACACGUUGCUCACUAUAUGCUAUGUACUUUUUAAAUGGUGGCUUAAGCUUUUAAAAGCAUUUUUCUGCAGCACAAGAAUACAAGAUAUGAGUCAAAAGAACAACAUAGCUCCAGGAUGCUUGUGUCUAAUAAUCUAGAGUUCUUAGACUUUACGUUUGGCCUUAUUGUAACUUUUUCAAUUCAGUGAGCAACAACCAUCAAUUUUUCAUAAUAAUAUGUUCAAAUCAAUAGAAAUCAGAACUUUUUUUCAUGAAUGG